GAUGAAGAACGUAGCGAAAUGCGAUAAGUAAUGUGAAUUGCAGAAUUCAGUGAAUCAUCGAAUCUUUGAACGCAUCUUGCGCUCCUUGGUAUUCUGAGGAGCAUGCCUGUUUGAGUGUCAUUAAAUUCUCAACUACACUGACUUUGAAUUGGUGUAGCUUGGAUUUGGGGGGAAAAUUGUUGUGGGCUUUUUGUAUAGUCUGCUCCCCUGAAAUUGAUUAGCGGUACCUUUGUGGAACUGUCUACAGGUGUGAUAAUUAUCUACAUCUUAGACAUCUGCUGGAAUGCUGCUUUCUAAACCUUACUUGUAUUGACAAUCUUGACCUCAAAUCAGGUAGGACUACCCGCUGAACUUAAGCAUAUCAAUAAGCGGAGGA
rnacentral:misc_RNA from 1 species